GCCAGCCAGGAAACCAAAGUAUGGACAAGGGGAAAGAAGCAUCUGUGGAGGAAGUUUUACAAGCGACCCUCCUCAUCCAUCAACACGGAGAUGCAUUGACACCCUUCUUCAAUCCAGAGGAUGGGCCAUCAACUCACAAAAGUACAAGGCCUGGAACCAGCUGCAAAGUUCCUAUGGAUCACUUGGCCAGGCUGUACAGGAAGCAUAGUGACUUCUGCUUCUGGGAAGACCUCAGGAAAUUUCCAAUCAUGGUGGAAGGCAAAGGGGGAGCCAGCACUUCACACAGCCAGAGCAGGAUGAAGAGAGGGGCUGGAGUGCUACGCACUUUUAAGCAACCAGAUCUUGUGAGAACUCACUCACUAUCAGGAGAACAACACCAGUGGUGCUAAAACCAUUCAUGAAAAUCACCCUCAGGAGCCAAUCACCUCCCACCAGAUCCCACGGCAAACACUGCAGAUUACAAUUUGACAUGAGAUUUGGUGGGGACAAAGAUCCAAUUUAUUUCAGCGAUGAAAAUGUAUUCUUAUGUUCUCUUCUAUGGAUUUGGUCAAUUUGGCUCCUAUAUUUAGAUGCAUUAUUAAUUUGAGUCAAUCAUGCAUAUGGUGCUAGGGAGGCAAUAACUUGCAUGUCAGUGUCCAUUUGUCCCAGCAACACUGUGUGAGGAAAUAUUUCUUUAUAUUGAAUUGACUUGUCAACCUUGUAAAAUUGUUUUACCAUGCAUGUAAGAAUUAAUUUUCGACAUUUGAUUUUAUUCCAUUGAUAUAUAUGUCUCUCUAUCGGGAGAAAUUCAGCCAGAUAGCAGGCGAAAUUCCACCCCGAUAUUUCACGUAGGUUCUUUUCUAGAUUCCCUGAGUGUCAGCCAGUCUGAGAAAUAAAGGGACAGAGUACAAAAGAGAUAAAUUUUAAAGCUGGGUGUCCGGGGGAGACAUCACGUGUCGGCACCUUCCGUGAUGCCCCCCGAGCCGUAAAACCAGCAAGUUUUUAUUAGUGAUUUUCAAAAGGGGAGGGAGUGUACCAAUAGGGUGUGGGUCACAGAGAUCACGUGCUUCACAAGGUAAUAGAAUAUCACAAGGCAAAUGGAGGCAGGGCGAGAUCACAGGACCACAGGACUGGGGCAAAAUUAAAAUUGCUGAUGAAGUUAUAGGCACGCAUUCUCAUUGAUAACAUCUUAUCAGGAGACAGGGUUUGAGAGCAGACAACCAGUCUGUCCAAAAUUUAUUAGGCGGGAAUUUCCUCAUCCUAAUAAGCCUAGGAGCGCUAUGGGAGACUAGGGCUUAUUUCAUCCCUACAGCUUUGACCAUAAAAGAUGGCUGCCCCCGAAGCGGCCAUUUUAGAGGCCUACACUCAGGAUCGCAUUCUCUUUCUCAGGGAUGUUCCUUGCUGAGAAAGAAUUCAGUGAUAUUUCUCCCAUUUGCUUUUGAAAGAAGAGAAAUAUGGCUCUGUUCCAUCCGGCUCACUGGUGGUCAGAGUUUAAGGUUAUCUCUCUUGUUCCCUGAACAUUGCUGUUAUCCUGUUCUUUUUUCAAGGUGCCCAGAUUUCAUAUUGUUCAAACACACAUGCUCUACAAACACUUUGUGCAGUUAACGCAAUCAUCACAGGGUCCUGAGGCGACACACAUCCUCCUCAGCUUAUGAAGAUGAUAGGAUUAAGAGAUUAAAGUAAAGACAGGCAUAGGAAAUCACAAGGGCAUUGAUUGGGGAAGUGAUAAGUGUCCAUGAAAUCUUCACAAUUUAUGUUCAGAGAUUGCAGUAAAGACAGGAGUAAGAAAUUAUAAAAGUCUGAAAUUGGGGAACUAGUAAUUGUCUGUGAAAUCUUCACAAUCCACGUUCUUCUGCCAUGGCUUCAGCCGGUCCCUCGGUUCGGGGUCCCUGACUUCCCGCAACCUCUCUCCUUCUCACAUAGUAGAUAAACACACACAGGGUACAUGAUAUGUUUUGGUACAGGCAUGUAAUGUGAAAUAAGCACACAUCAUGGAGAAUUGGACAACUAUCUCUAUGAGCAUUUAUCCUUUGAGUUACAAACAAUUCAAUUAUGCUUUUUAAGUUUUGUAAAAAUAUGCAAUUAUUAUUGACUUUCAUAGUUACCCUGUUACGCUAUCAGUUUGUUUUAUUCAUUCUUUCUAUUUGUUUUGUAACCAUUAAACAUCCCUACCUUCCCCCAGCCCCCUGCUACCAUUCCCAGCCUCUGUUAACCAUCCUUCUACUCUCUAUGUCCAUGAGUUCAACUGUUUUGAUUUUUAGAACCCACAAAUAAGUGACAACAUGUGAUAUUUGUCUUUCUGUGCCUGGUUUAUUUCACUGAAGAUAGUAAUCUCCAGUUUUAUCCUUGUUGUUGCAAAUGACUGGGUCUCUUUAUUUUUUCUGGCUUAAUAGUACUCCACUGUUUAUAUACACCAUAUGUUCUUUAUCCAAUCAUCUGUUGAUGGACACUUAAGAUUGCUUCCAAAUCUUAGCUAUUGUAAACAGUGCUGCAACAAGCAUAGGAGUGCAGAUAUCUCGUUGAUAUACUGAUUUCCUUUCUUUGGGGUAUAUAUAUGCAGCAGCCUACUGCUGGGUAUAUUUGGUAGCUCAAUUUUAGUUUUCUGAGGAACCUCCAAACUGUUCUCCAUAGUGGUUGUGCUAAUUUACAUUCCCACCAACUGUGUACAAGGGUUGCUUUUCUCCACAUCCUCACCAGCAUUUGUUAUUACCUGUCCUUUGGAUAAAAGCUAUUUUACCUGGGGUGAGAUGAUAUCUCAUUGUAGUUUUGAUUGGCAUUUCUCUGAUGAUUAAUGAUUUUGAGCACCUUUUCAUAUGCUUGUUUGCCAUUUGUAUGUCUUUUGAGAAACAUUUAUUCCAAUAUUUUGUCCUUUUUUGGUUGGAUUAUUUGACUUUUUUCCUAUAGGGUUGUUUGAGCUGCCUAUAUAUUCUAGUUAUUAAUCCAUCAGAUGGGUAGUUUGCAGAUAUUUUUUCCCAUUCUGUGGGUUGUUGCUUCACUUUGUUGAUUAUAUCCUAUGCUGUGCAGGAGCUUUUAACUUGAUAUGAUCUCAUUUGCCCAUUUUUGCAUUGGUUGCUUGUGGGAUAUUGCUCAAGAAAUUUUCUCCUAGACCAACAUACUGGAGAGUUUCCUUAAUGUUUUCUUAUAGUAGUUUCAUAGUCGGAGGUCUUCAAUGUAAGUCUUUAAUCCAUUUUGAUUUGAUUUUUUGCAUACAGUGAGAGACAGAGUUCUAGUUUCAUUCUUCUGCAUGUGGAUAACCAGUUUUCCCUGCACCAUUUAUUUAAGAGACUGGCUUUUUCCCCAGUUUACGUUCUUGGCAACUCUGUCGAAAAUGACAUAACUGUAGCGUUGUGGAUUUGUUCCUUGGUUUUCUAUUCUGUUCCAUAGGUCUAUAUGGGUAUUUUUAUUCCAAUACCAUGCUGUUUCAUUUACUAUAGGUCUCUAGUAUAAUUGGAAGUCAGGUAAUGUAAUUCCUCUAGUUUUGUUCUUUCUGCUUAGGAUAGCUAUGGCUAUUCUGGUUAUUUUGUUGUUCCAUAUCCUUAACACAAUUUUGAUUACUAUUGCUUUUGUAGUAUGUUUUGAAAUCAGAAAGUAGCAUUUUACUACACAAACUUUGUUCUUUUUCAAAAUUAUUUUGUCUGUUCUGGAAUUCUAUUUCAUUAUAUAUGAAUUUUAGAGUAAAAUUGCCAAUUAGGGGAGAAAAUGUCACCUAGGAUUUAGCUAGGGAUUGCAUUAGAUAUAUUUGGAAAGUAUCAGCAACCUAAUGAUACUAAGCUUUCUAAUCAGUGAAAGCUCAAUGUAUUUAAUUUAUAAUUGUAUUAAUAUCUUUGAUAUGUUUUGUAGUCCUCAGUAUAUGUAUCUUAUACUUAUUUUAUCAAAUUAAUUCAUAGGUAUUUAACUUUUAUGCCAUUUUACAUGAAAUGGUUUUUGAAAUUUUGUUUUUAGAUUGUUAAUUGCUAAUAAAUAAAAAUAUAGUUGUUUUUGUAUAUUGACCUGUACUAAGCUGUACUACAAGCUUGCUUAUCCCUUUUUUCAUAUUUUGUUAUGUUUUAUUAGAGUUUUUAUGAUGUCUAUAGGCAGGAUCAUGUCAUUUGGAGACAUAAUUUGACUUUCCUUCCAAUCGGACUGCGUUAUGUUUAUUUUCUACACCAAUUAUGUUGGGGACAUCCUCCAAUACAGUGGUGACUAAAACUGUGAAAGUGAUAUCCUUCUCUUGUUUCUAAUUUUACAAGAAAGUGUUUGAGCUUCCAGAACUUUUAGGAUGUCAUGUGAGGUUUUCUGUGCUUUCAUGAUGGGGAAAUUUUUCUUAUUUGCCUAACUUGUUGCAUGAUUUUAUAAGGAAUGAAAUUUCAAUUUAGCAAGUGCUUAUUGCUCAUCUUUUAAGAUGACCAUGUGUAUUAUGUCCCUUAUCUCUUAAUAUAGUUUAUGGCACUAAUUCUUUUUCUAUGUUGAACCAAAUUUGCAUUUGUAAGAUGUAUACCUUCGUCAAAAUUUAUAAAUUUUUACAUGUCUGUUAUUUGUUUUAAUAGUAUUUCCUUUAAUUUUUGUGUUUAUGUUCAUAAGUCAUAUUGAUCAUAGUUUUUCUUCAGUAACUUUGUCUAACUGUGGUAUAAGGCUGAUAAUUCACAUUGAAAAGUGAUCUAUUCUUCAUGUUGCUCUUACUGUUUUUAUGUGAAAGGUCUAAAUUUAUUUAGCAGAAAUAGAAUGGAACACAUGAAAAGGAGAAAAAAUGUACAUUUUUUCAAGAUAAUUUUCAGACUUUGCAAACAAUUAUAUUGUAUAAGUGAAUAAAACCAAAUCAGAGUAAUAAAGAUAUGUAAUUGGGCUACAUAGAUGGAGAUUUACAAUAC
rnacentral:lncRNA from 1 species